GCAACAACAGCAACAGCAGCAACAGCCUCCCCAGCAACAGCAACAGCAGCGAAGGGAUGGUACUCACCUUCUAAAUGGUACUGCAAAUGGACUUGUGGGAAAUGAUCCUCUCUUGCGUCAAAGCCCUGGAACUGCAAAUGCCUUGGCGACAAAGAUGUAUGAGGAAAGAUUAAAACUACCAAUUCAGAGGGAUUCUUUGGAUGAUGCAGCAAUGAAGCAAAGAUUCAGUGAGAAUGUUGGCCAGCUUUUAGAUCCAAAUCAUGCCUCAAUAUUGAAGUCUGCAGGAACUGGCCAGCCAUCAGGCCAAGUGUUACAUGGUACAGCUGGUGGAAUGUCCCCACAGGUUCAGGCUAGAAAUCAACAACUUCAAGGGUCCACACCAGACAUAAAGAGUGAGACCAACCCACUAAUAAAUCACAGAGCUGCUGGUCCAGAAGCAUUAAUAGGAAUUCCUGGAUCAAAUCAAGGCAGUAACAAUUUGACUUUAAAAGGGUGGCCGCUCACUGGACUGGAUCAUCUUCGCCCUGGGCUGCUUCAGCAGCAGAAACCUUUUAUACAGGCUCCUCAGCCCUUUCAUCAACUUCAGAUGUUGACACCACAACACCAGCAACAGCUUAUGCUUGCACAGCAAAAUUUAACAUCACCAUCUGCUAGUGAUGAGACUAGAAGAUUGAGAAUGCUUUGGAACAACCGGAAUAUGGGGCUUGGGAAGGAUGGGCUUUCAAAUCCUGUCGGUGAUGUGAUUCCAAACGUUGGAUCUCCUCUACAAGCUGGUGGCUCUCUUUUGCCUCGUGGAGAUACAGAUACGCUGAUUAAGUUAAAAAUGGCUCAAAUACAACAGCAGCAACAACAGCAGCAGCAUCAAAACAGUAAUCCGCAGCAGCAGCAGCAGCAGCAGCA
rnacentral:misc_RNA from 1 species